rnacentral:rRNA from 1 species
UAACUGAGCGUUCAGUUACUUGACGUAGACCCGAAACCGGGCGACCUACCCAUGAGCAGGAUGAAGCGAAAGUAAAAUUUCGUGGAGGUCCGAACCCACGAGCGUUGAAAAGCUCGGGGAUGACUUGUGGGUAGCGGUGAAAUUCCAAUCGAGCCCGGAGAUAGCUGGUUCUCCCCGAAAUAGCUUUAGGGCUAGCCUCAAGGUGAGAGAUACGGAGGUAGAGCACUGAAUGUCCUAGGGGGUAUUGCACCUACCGAAGACUAUCAAACUCCGAAUGCCGUCAUCUUAUACUUGGGAGUCAGACUGUGGGUGAUAAGAUUCAUAGUCGAAAGGGCAACAGCCCAGAUCGUCAGCUAAGGUCCCUAAAUGUAAGUUAAGUGGUAAAGGAUGUGGGAUUGCACAGACAACCAGGAUGUUGGCUUAGAAGCAGCCACUCAUUCAAAGAGUGCGUAAUAGCUCACUGGUCGAGUGAUCCUGCGCCGAAGAUUUCCGGGGCUAAAACUUACUACCGAAGCUACGGCAUCAGUAAUGAUGGGUAGGGGAGCUUCCCAUACGGGUUGAAGCAUGACCGUAAGGACAUGUGGACAGUAUGGGAGUGAGAAUGUUGGCAUGAGUAGCGAGAUGUGGGUGAGAAUCCCACAGGCCGUAAACCCAAGGUUUCCAGGGGAAGGUUCGUCCGCCCUGGGUUAGUCGGGACCUAAGCUGAGGCCGAAAGGCGUAGGUGAUGGACAACAGGUUGAUAUUCCUGUACUACCGAUAACCGUUUGAGAGAAGGGAUGACACAGUAGGAUAAGCUAAGCACACUG